GACGAACGCUGGCGGCGUGCCUAAUACAUGCAAGUAGAACGCUGAAGGAGGAGCUUGCUCUUCUGGAUGAGUUGCGAACGGGUGAGUAACGCGUAGGUAACCUGCCUGGUAGCGGGGGAUAACUAUUGGAAACGAUAGCUAAUACCGCAUAAUAGUAGAUGUUGCAUGAUAUUUACUUAAAAGGUGCAAUUGCACCACUACCAGAUGGACCCGCGUUGUAUUAGCUAGUUGGUGGGGUAACGGCUCACCAAGGCGACGAUACAUAGCCGCCCUGAGAGGGUAUUCAGCACACCGGGAAUGGGACACGGCCCAGGCCCCCACGGGAGGCAGCAGUAGGGAAUUUUCGGCAAUGGACGAAAAGCUGACCGAGCAACGCCGCGUUAGUGGAGGAGGGUUUCGGAGCGUAAAAGCCUGUUGGAAGAGAAGAACGAGUGGGAGAUUAAAAAGUUCACACUGUGACGGUAUCUUACCAGAAAGCGACGGCUAACUACGUG
rnacentral:rRNA from 1 species